UGGGGAAUAUUGCACAAUGGGGAAACCCUGAUGCAGCGACGCCGCGUGAGUGAAGAAGUAUUUCGGUAUGUAAAGCUCUAUCAGCAGGGAAGAAAAUGACGGUACCUGACUAAGAAGCCCCGGCUAACUACGUGCC
rnacentral:rRNA from 1 species